rnacentral:rRNA from 1 species
GACGAACGCUGGCGGCGUGCUUAACACAUGCAACUCGAACGGAAAGGCCCUGCUUUUGUGGGGUGCUCGAGUGGCGAACGGGUGAGUAACACGUGAGUAACCUGCCCUUGACUUUGGGAUAACUUCAGGAAACUGGGGCUAAUACCGGAUAGGAGCUCCUGCUGCAUGGUGGGGGUUGGAAAGUUUCGGCGGUUGGGGAUGGACUCGCGGCUUAUCAGCUUGUUGGUGGGGUAGUGGCUUAACAAGGCUUUGACGGGUAGCCGGCCUGAGAGGGUGACCGGCCACAUUGGGACUGAAAUACGGCCCAGACUCCUACGGGAGGCAGCAGUGGGGAAUACUGCACAAUGGGCGGAAGCCUGAUGCAGCAACGCCGCGUGCGGGAUGACGGCCUUCGGGUUGUAAACCGCUUUCGCCUGUGACGAAGCGUGAGUGACGGUAAUGGGUAAAGAAGCACCGGCUAACUACGUG